rnacentral:tRNA from 1 species
GCCGGCGUAGUUAAACGGUAUAACAAAGGACUCAUAAGCCUUGAUCGGAAGUUCGACUCUUCCCGCCGGCACCA